rnacentral:rRNA from 1 species
UGGUGGAGUGAUUUGUCUGGUUAAUUCCGUUAACGAACGAGACCUCGACCUGCUAAAUAGUUCGCCGAACCGCUUGGUUCGCGCGCGACUUCUUAGAGGGACUAUCGGUGUGUAGCCGGUGGAAGUUCGAGGCAAUAACA